rnacentral:rRNA from 1 species
ACGAACGCUGGCGGUGUGCUUCACACAUGCAAGUCGAACGGGGUAGCAAUACCCAGUGGCGGACGGGUGAGUAACACGUGGGAAUCUACCAUUAGAUGGGGAAUAACAGCCCGAAAGGACUGCUAAUGCCGCAUAUGUAUGUGCUUCGACAGAGGUGUAUAUGAAAGGAGUAAUCCGUCUGAUGAUGAGCCCGCGCCCGAUUAGCUAGUUGGUAGGGUAAAAGCCUACCAAGGCGACGAUCGGUAGGUGGUCUGAGAGGAUGAUCACCCACAAUGGGACUGAGACACGGCCCAUACUCCUACGGGAGGCAGCAGUGGGGAAUUUUGUGCAAUGGGCGAAAGCCUGACACAGCGACACCGCGUGAGCGAAGAAGCCCUUUGGGGUGUAAACCGCUUUCAGCCGGAAAGAAAUCGUCAAGGCUAAUAUCCUUGAUGGAUGACGGUACCGGAAGAAGAAGCACCGGCUAACUACGU